GCAACCCGCGGCUAGCCACCGCGGUGGAGACUUUAAAUUGAGUAAUUUCUAGCGUUGUGGCUAAUUGGAAAGACGAAUUGAGUGAGGUUGAAAUAAAGAGAAGUACAGGUAGAAGGAGCAUAUCAAGCAUGAUGGGAUUGAGCGAAGAGGGUUAUAUGUUACAUUGCUUUGUUUAUUUCUUAUCGUAAUAUAUUAUUUCAUUUAUUGUUGUCACUAACAUAUAAUCCUAUUUGUAAUAUUUUAGUUUGAUUUUUAAAAAAGGGCCUUGAAUGGUUCCAAGUUAUUUGUUUAAUGUAAGUUGGUUUUAAAGUUUGAGUUUGUUUUAUUAAACUUUAUUUUAUUUGAGCUUUUAAAAGUUAGUCUUC